UACGAAGGGGGCUAGCGUUGCUCGGAAUCACUGGGCGUAAAGCGCACGUAGGCGGAUUGUUAAGUCAGGGGUGAAAUCCUGGAGCUCAACUCCAGAACUGCCUUUGAUACUGGCGAUCUCGAGUCCGGGAGAGGUGAGUGGAACUGCGAGUGUAGAGGUGAAAUUCGUAGAUAUUCGCAGGAACACCAGUGGCGAAGGCGGCUCACUGGACUGGUAUUGACGCUGAGGUGCGAAAGCGUGGGGAGCAAACAGG
rnacentral:rRNA from 1 species